rnacentral:tRNA from 1 species
GGGGCUAUAACUCAGUGGUAAAGUGCUUGCCUAGCAUGUGUGAGGCACUGGGUUCAAUCCUCAGUGCCCCA